rnacentral:tRNA from 14 species
GUUGGCGUGGCUAGGUGGUCAAGGCGAUAUACUAGAAAUCCAUUGGGGUCUCCCUGUGCAGGUUCGAAUCCUGAUGAUAACG